GCUCUGAUGGCCUAGUGGUUAGAGCGUCCGCCUUGGAUGCUGGAGGUCGUAGGUUCGAUCCUCAGUUAAGUCA